CCCGGUGAUCAUAGCGCGGGGGUAACACCCGUUCCCAUUCCGAACACGGCCGUUAAGCCCCGCAGCGCCGAUGGUACUACGCGGGCAACUGCGUGGGAGAGUAGGACAUCGCCGGGA
rnacentral:rRNA from 1 species